rnacentral:rRNA from 1 species
UCAAAAACAUAGUUUUGAGAGAAAAAUGAAAUAUACAUUCAAAAUUUCCCCUGCCCACUGAAACAUAUAUAUUUAACGGCCGCAGUACUUUGACUGUGCUAAGGUAGCAUAAUAAAUUGGCUUUUAAUUGAAGUCGAGAAUGAACGGGAUUACAAUCAAUUUCUGUCUCGCUUUAGGUUUUAUGAAUUUACUAAUUAGGUGAAAAUUCCUAAAUAAUUAUUUAAUAGACGAGAAGACCCUUAGAGUUUUAAUUAAUAAAGUUGAAUGUAUAUAAUCUAUAGUUAUACAGAUUAUAUUUUAACUUUAAUAUUUUUGUUGGGGCAACAAAUUAACAAUUUAAGUUAACUUAGUAAUUUAUGAUCGAAUUAACAAUUCAUUUAAAUAUAACACGCCAAAAGUAUUUUAUAGAUGAAUAAGACUACCUAAGGGAUAACAGCAUAAUUUAAGUUUAAGAUUAUGACCUCGAUGUUGGAUUAGGGCCUUAUUUUGAUUAACCGUUUAAUAAGAAGUGUUCUGUCCGAACAAAUAUUUCUCCUACAUGA